CACGCUGUAAACGAUGGGUACUAGGAUUGGUGGGAUUUGACCCCUGCCGAUCCGUAGCUAACGCGUUAAGUACCCCGCCUGGGAAGUACGGUCGCAAGAUUAAAACUCAAAGGAAUUGACGGGGGCCCGCACAAGCGGUGGAUCAUGUGGUUUAAUUCGAAGCAACGCGAAAAACCUUACCUGGGUUUGACAUCCUUUGACAUCCGUAGAAAUACGGCUUUCGUAGCAAUACGACAAAGAGACAGGUGC
rnacentral:rRNA from 1 species